rnacentral:rRNA from 1 species
GACGAACGCUGGCGGCGUGCUUAACACAUGCAAGUCGAACGGUAAGGCCCUUCGGGGUACACGAGUGGCGAACGGGUGAGUAACACGUGGGUGAUCUGCCCUGCACUUCGGGAUAAGCCUGGGAAACUGGGUCUAAUACCGGAUAGGACCCUGGGAUGCAUGUCCAGGGGUGGAAAGCUUUUGCGGUGUGGGAUGGGCCCGCGGCCUAUCAGCUUGUUGGUGGGGUUAUGGCCUACCAAGGCGACGACGGGUAGCCGGCCUGAGAGGGUGACCGGCCACACUGGGACUGAGAUACGGCCCAGACUCCUACGGGAGGCAGCAGUGGAGAAUAUUGCACAAUGGGCGCAAGCCUGAUGCAGCGACGCCGCGUGAGGGAUGACGGCCUUCGGGUUGUAAACCUCUUUCAGCACCGACGAAGCGCAAGUGACGGUAGGUGCAGAAGAAGGACCGGCCAACUACGUGCCAGCAGCCGCGGUAA